GACGAACGCUGGCGGCGUGCUUAACACAUGCAAGUCGAACGAUGAAGAAAAGAAUCGAAGCUUCGGCAGAAAUUCAUUUCGGAUUAGUGGCAGACGGGUGAGUAACGCGUGAGCAACCUACCUCUUACAAAGGGAUAGCCUCGGGAAACCGGGAUUAAUACCAUAUAACAUUGCGACGAAGCAUUUCGCUGCAAUCAAAGCUACGGCGGUAAGAGAUGGGCUCGCGUCCCAUUAACCGGAUGGUGAGGUAACGGCUCACCAUAGUGACGAUGGGUAACCGGCCUGAGAGGGUGAACGGUCACACUGGAACUGAGACACGGUCCAGACUCCUACGGGAGGCAGCAGUGGGGAAUAUUGCACAAUGGAGGGAACUCUGAUGCAGCGACGCCGCGUGAGUGAUGAAGGAAUUCGUUUCGUAAAACUCUGUUCUAUGGGAAGAAAAGGACUGUACCAUAGGAGAAAGCUCCGGCUAAAUACGUG
rnacentral:rRNA from 1 species